CCCCCCCCCCCCCCCCCCCCCCCCCCCCCCCCCCCCCCCCCCCCCCCCCCCCCCCCCCCCCCCCCCCGCGGAGGGCGGCGGCGGCCACCACCGAGGAGCGGCGGCGGCAAAGUUUUGGUGUGGGGGGCCAGAGGCGCGGAGGGGAAUUACGAUCGGUGCCGGCGAGGGAUUCCCAGACACCGCCAGUGGUUAUAAUCGUUGAGGUGAGGAUGAAGUCCAGAGCCUGCACAUGUGUACAUGCUUUCCUCCCCAUCAGUCCAAGAAGAGGCAGGUGUGCUGAACACCCAUCACUGAGGCUGGGGACACACUGGAGCCCUCCCUGGAAACUCCACCAUCUAAUAUAAGUCCACAUCCUUCUGCUCACACUGUCAGUGCAGCAAGGGAGGUAGGAGCUCCUGCGUGGCUCUAGCAAUGCACCAAUGAUUGUUCGUGCACGUAUUUCCCCUGUAUGCAGAGGUAUGUUCUGAACUUGUCUUUGCUUUUCUCUGGCAGACAAAAAUCAAGUGGCUCUAAGCUUUGCAAGUACCAGAGUU
ensembl:lncRNA